CCUACGGGUGGCAGCAGUAGGGAAUAUUGCUCAAUGGGGGAAACCCUGAAGCAGCAACGCCGCGUGGAGGAUGGAGGUUUUCGGAUUGUAAACUCCUUUUGUUAGAGAAGAUUAUUACGGUAUCUUACGAAUACGCACCGGCUAACUCCGUGCACGCCGCCGCGGUAAUACGGAGAGGGCAAGCGUUACUCGGGACCACUGGGCGUAAAGAGCGCGUAGGGGGGAUAGAAAGUCAGAUGUGAAGUCCUAUGUCUUACGCAUAGAACUGCAGUUGAAACUGUUAUGCUAGAGUUUGGGAGAGGUAGGUGGAAUUCUUGGUGUAGGGGUAAAAUCCGUAGAGAUCAAGAGGAAUACUCAUUGCGAAGGCGACCUGCUAGAACGUAACUGACGCUGAUGCGCGAAAGCGUGGGGAGCAAACAGGAUUAGAUACCCGUGUAGUC
rnacentral:rRNA from 1 species